ACACACACACACAUACACACGCACACACCUAGAUCAUUGAGGAAGCCAUUUUUACAAAUGUUAUGGCAGUGAUAAACUGAUAAUCUAUUUAUGUGUGUUUGUGUGAUUGUAACUGAUGCAGUGUCGUGAGACAGUUUUGGUUUUUAAUUUUUCAACCAUUCUUUGUAUGUACCUUCUUAAUUUGUGUAUGAUAGAAGGGAACUAUUUAGUCUUUCUUGCAAAAUCAAUCUAAAUGAUUGGAUCAAUUGAUGAAGAAGGUUUCUGUAAACUUAUAUAAUCAGAAGUUUUGGAUCAUUCACAGUUCUUGAUAUCCUAAAAAUUGUUAUGUUCCAUCAUUUCGAAGCAGUAGUUACAACAGUCCCUACUGGCACUGGGAGCUAAGAUGAAGGGUUUUCAAUGAUGUAGUUACUGCAAUAUGUCUGUAUAAAUUUCAACAGUGUUAGUCAUCUUCGUUAGAUGCCCAUAUAUAGAUUUAGGGUUGGUCAACUUUACUCCGGUAACUGAGUUUUUUUUCCCAAUGUGGAUUGAAGCUUAUGGUUGGCUUGUUAACAUGAGCGAUAAUAAGCUCAACUUUCUUCAGGCUUAUACUUAGUUAACCCUGAAGGAGAAGGGUCCCUGUUCCCUUCUGUGAACAGGUUUCUCAUUAGCUUCAGGGAA
rnacentral:misc_RNA from 1 species